rnacentral:rRNA from 1 species
AAUAGCCUAACGGCUGAACCAGCAACUUGAAGGAAUGUAUAGCGAAAACUAGUUGUGCUUAAUUUAGAGAAAGCUAAUGUGUGCAAUAUUGACUACGUCAAAUAAAGUUCUGGGUGGAAUAUGAUGGUGACAUAUUCUAUCUAUGUGUCUUGACCAAAUUACGUGCCAGCAGUCGCGGUAACACGUAAAAGACUAGUGUUAUUCAUCUUUAAUAGGUUUAAAGGGUACCUAGACAGCCUAUCAAGCCCCCCUAAAAUGGUACUAAUAGGCUAGAGUUUAAUGUAAGGAGGCAUUAAAGUACUGAGAAUGUAGAGAAAUGAAAUUCUGUGAUACUAUAUAUGGCACUGGCAGAGGCGAAAGCAUCUUAUUAUGUAAAAACUGACGUUGAGGGACGAAGGCUGUGUGUAGCAAAAAGGAUUAGGUACCCAAGUAGUCUCAGCAGAAAAUGAUGAAUGUCAUAGGAUAGAUUAAUUUUUGUACUAUAAAUGAAAGUGUAAGCAUUCCACCUUAAGAGUAAUUUGGCAACAUUGGAACUGAAAUCAUUAGACCGUUUCUGAAACAAGUAGUGAAGUAUGUUGUUUAAUUUGAUGGUCCGCAAAAAACCUUACCACAAUUUGAAUAUAAAAAUUUUUAUACAAGCGCUGCACGGUUGUCUUCAGUUAAUGUCGUGAGAUUCUGGUUAGUUCCAUUAAAUUAACGUAAACCCUUACUUUAUUUUUUAAUAGAGUUGUUCACCGCUAUAUUGGAUGUGAUAACAGGGACUAAGACAAGUCAUCAUGGCCUUAAUAUU